rnacentral:lncRNA from 1 species
AGGCCGCGGCCAGGGAAGGGGGCAGCUGAUGACUGGGGAGCGGCUUAACAGGCGCUUCCUGACCGCGCCCACACCAGCCCCGAGGCUGCGCGAGCGAGAGGGCGCCGGGGCGGGGAGCGGGGCUCCGGAGAGCGAGCGGGUCCCCUGCGCCCCCUGCCGAGCGCCGGUCCCCACUGCAUGCCCCGCCGCCGCCUCUGCGCGCCAGGACCCGGACCGGCGGCGGGCGGGCCAGGGAACCCUGCCGCCAGAGCUCGGGCCCCUGUCUGCCGGUCCGUGUUCCGCCCUGGAAGAAGGGAGGUGGGAAUAAAGGCGCUCCCGGGAAGUCCCCUCCCCAAGGGCAGGUUAGGAGCCGGCCGUACCAGUGUUUUUCAGAGGCCUGUUGAUCCCAGCCUGCUACCAGCUCCUGACUCACCAGCAUGGUCAUGUUCACAGACAGGCCCUCGCAAGGAGCUACCGACAGAAGGUACAGGAAACUAUGACCUGGCACCCGCUAUGUCCUAGAAGCUUCUCCUUUUACUCUGGUGGGUGAAGACUUUCUCCUCAAAGUGGCCCCCACAACACUGUGUCCUGCCACCUUCCAGCCUCAAGUGAAAGUCAGAAUUUUGGAGCCAACUUUUGGAGAAAUUUGGAGAAUUGAUACAGAAAAAUUGAUAUGCCCUUUUCUCCCUGAAUUUCUUAUCCUGAGCAUAAUGCUGAUUUGGUUUAAAUCUGAGCCUGGCUCUUUUAGAAGCCAGGCACCACACCCAGGCUAAUAUGGGGUAUAUAGUUACUGCCCUGGUAAUUAUCCAGGCCAUAAAUCACCCAACCCCUAUCCCUUUAGACUGUCCAAUAGAAAUGUAACAAGAGCUGUAUGUGUAAUUUAAAAAUUUUAGUAGCCACAUGAAAAAGUAAAAAAGAACAAGUGAAAUUAAUUUUAAUGACAUUUUAUUUAACCCAUGAUAUUAAAAAUACUAUUGUAAUCAAUAUUAAAAAUAUUACUAAUGAGCUAUUUUACCUUCUUUUUUUGUGCUAAGUCUUUGACAUCUGGUAUUUAUUUUACCCUCACAGCACAUCUCAAUUUGGAGCAGCCACAGUUCAAGUACUCA